rnacentral:lncRNA from 1 species
CAAGAAUGCAGAGGAUUUAUAUCAACACAAAGAAGAGUCAAAGAGACAUAAAAGGCACACAAUGAAAUCUUAAAAAAUGUACUGGAUGUUGCAGCAUUAACUGAUGAGCCAGACAAGUGCCCUGGUUUUGCUUUGGGAGCCACCUUUCUCUUUCAGAUGCUGUCUCAGUGGGAUGGUCAACCAAUGUAUCCUACAUUUUGAGAACCAGCCAAAGGAAGUAAUGAUAAUGGAAAACAAAUAAGGAGAAGUGAGUUGGAGGGAGAAGGAGACUUUAGCAUCUUCCUGAAAUCGGGAAGAAAGUUUCAAGAAUGAAGUAAUCCAUAAGGUCAAAUACUGCAAUAAGUUUGAGUAGGAUGAAGACUGUAAAGAUGGCAUCAGUUUGGUAGUUAGGACAUUGGUGACCUCCACAGGUGACCUUCAGAAGAAUCACCUGGGGAACUUGUUGAUUGAAUUUGCGAAUCUCCACCUUUAGGGAUUCUGAUUUAGAAGGAGUAGGAGGAAGGCCUUAGGAUCUCCAUUUAUAACAACCAUUACUGAUUAUUUUGAUGCAGGUAAUAUACAGACCACAUUUUAAAGAAACACUAGGCAAGUAUGAUUUUCAUUCAAAAGACAAAAAACGUAAAGUUACCUAAUUCAGGGACCAUUUCAAAGACCAAAUCAAAUCAAUAGCCUGGUUGAUCUGAUCGACUGUGCAGAAACUAACCAUUACCAUGGCAAAGUGCGGAGGAACAGUCAAUAAAAAGCAAUUGAUUUAUUGUUCAUAUAUAAGAUGAAUAUAGACAUGGAUUUUGUUUCAAGUGAUUUGGAUGAAAAAUAAAAG